rnacentral:lncRNA from 1 species
GGGGGAGGAGCAGGAGCCAGGAGACCUGCCCUCCUCACCCCUCACUGAUGCCCUCACCUCACUUCCCUCUCUGCUCGCAGUGGUAUGUGAGACACUGCUGCUGAGUAUCGUUCUUUUUAGACUCUGGGCUCCUUGAGACACAGGGCCAGAGGAGGCAGUUCUACUAGGUACUCAGGAUGUAGUGGAGAACCUCCACCAAGCCAGGAGAAGGAUUGAGUUAACCUAUGAAAGCAGGACCAUGAGGACUGUGGGCCUGCAACCGACCCAUGGGCCUCUAGUGGCCAGGAAGAAAGGCCAGAGGCCCACAUUCAGUUCAUCAUCCAUUCUGAACUGGCCUCACACCCAGCACCAUUCAGCCACAGAGCAGCUGGAGGGGUCUCAAUGAGCCUUUAGAACCUCUCCCCCAUCUUGCUCAGCCUUUGCCCAGGGGUUCAGGCCCAGCAUACCCUACCUCCACACUGGCUCCCCGAGGAGGACCAGUUUGGCUGCUGGACCCAGGAGUAGCAUAAAGGGGCCAGCAUAGAUUUCAGCCAUGAUUCCUCCUCAUCCCAAUUCCAGCCCCUACCUUUCUACCCUUUUGGCCUGAGUUAAUGCCAAUGCCAUCCCUUGUCACCCACUUCCCAAAGACUAGCUGGACCUCCUGUAGGGCUGAGAGACUCAGCCUUCCUCCACUCACUUGGAAGCUGGGCUGGGGGUGGGUGUAAAGGGAGGAGAAGGGAGUCCCAGAGCCAGGACUUGGCCUGCUGCCCCUGUAGAUCCAGAGCCAGGUUUUACUGUAAUCCCUACAUCCUGUUGCAGAUCCUUAAUCAGCUGGAGCCCAGGUUGGGCUGGACCCUGUGGUGACACUCAGGGCUGUAGUGUGGAAAACCUGAAGUGGAGCUUCUAGAGUUGGGGUUGGCUGUGAGGUUGAGGCUGGUGGAGGGGAGCAGAAGGGAGCCAGUUCGGGCACAGGAUGUGGACAGAGCCCAGACCCACCACCUACCCAGCCUGGACUGGGUGGAGGAGCAGCUGUUACAGACUGGGAGCCAGGCUACAGUGGGGCAUGUGGGGCCCCCGAAAGGACACCAGAGUCUGUAGGGACUGCUGCACUGCUUCAUCACUCCAUCGAGACAGCUGACGUGAGAGUUGCUCAGACAGUGGCUCCAGCCAGAAACCUGGGUGACGGUGGUUCCAGGGUUUAUACCCACAGGUACUUCAAGUCCUCAUCAGGCUACAAGUACCUAUCCUGCUGGAGCCCUGCUUCCUGAGUAGGGGUGGGGAAGAGGGCCCAAGAGACCUAUCCUGGGUUUGGGCAGCCAGGGCUUGAGGCUCUCUCCAGGAGGCAGGGGUCCCUUAGCAGGGAAGGGAGACCCCAGGAUCACUCUUCCUUUUGCCACAAGCAACUGACCCCGGACAAGAGCUCCAUAUCCCAUCUGACCCCUUAGUUCAGCCCAACUCUGUAGUCCCUGCGUGAAUCUUAGGAAAGAGUUAGGGGACAGAGGGAGAAGACCCCACCUGGACCCCAACUCCUCUCAGCCCAAGAUGCAGUGGUGGAGGAGAAUGAGGGAGAAUGCAUAGUCCAGAGAGCCAGCACAGAAGCCAGGAGUGG